rnacentral:lncRNA from 1 species
GGCGGGACUACGCGGUGACGUCGAGGUGCGCGGCGCAGCGCGCGGCGUCAGUCUUGGCUGGCAGACCUGUACUCCGUACUCCGUACUUCGUAGUCGCAGCGGCGCGGUCUUCGGCAGUCUAGUCAUCCACCGCCAUCCUGGGCCCCACGUGUUGCCUGACCAUUCCUGAGCCCAGGUGGGAGCCGUGGCUGAGGUGACGGUCUCAAAGUGGAAGAGCUUACUGUCACAGCAACUCCUUUGCAAGAUGCCCCGGCCAGGAAUAGUUGCUGAACACCCCAGGCCUGCUGAGGUCCCUCCUUGAGUCUCAUGUUCAAGCAGUCUUUGUCCAUGAAACUGGGAGGCGACCGUGUUAGCUGCCAGUUCCUGACAGCCACCUCUCACCAGUGGCUUCACUCUGUGUCCCUGACCCAGCACAUGGCACAAGAGUGCCUGCCAUCCGUCAGUGUUUCUACAGCAGCAAUCCCAAGAUGCUGGAGCUAGAGGGGACCUGACCUGAGAGAAGAUACCUUCAGUGGCUGCCAGGCUGUUCCUUGGAACCUGUGCAGGGGUAAGUGUGCAGGAAGGUCUGACCUGGCAAGUCACUUCACUCCUGUUUUAUUUAGAGUCACCUGGCUAAUGAAAAGUAUUUUGACCUUCCCGUAUGGUAAGUCAGGUGAUUGAAUCCCAGAAAGGUUCAUUGUCUUCAAGCUCACAAUACUAUUUUGGGACAAACAGUUGUCUAGUGUUUGGACUCAUGAACCCUGAUUCUUGAGGGUGGUAUUUUACUGCUUUUGUGAUUUGGUUUCAACAUAUAUAGUCUUUUCUCCGGAGUUACCUUAGGUCAGUGGCCAGUGUUUCAGCCCCUGGAAAGGGCAUGGGCUGCCACUGAGGUUGGUCACAGGCCUCUCAGCUCAUGGUGGGAGUGGGUUCAGGAGUUGGUAAGUAGGGUUCAGUUCUGUUGUUGCCACCGAUGGCAACAGGGGUUUGUAAUAAUCCCUAGUUGUGUCAAUUAUGUCACUUAAUUUUCACAACAGGUCUCUGAAGUGUUUCUCAUCUCAUUUUUACAGAUGAGGCCUGCCUGUGUUAAUACACCUAGUGAGGAGUGGAGCUGAAUUUGAAUGCAAGCCUUGGCACCUUAAUUGAGCAAGUUUGAAACCUCGCUUGUUGCCCUUCUGGAAGGAGUCAGGAAUUUCCAGUUCUGGGCCUGGGCUGUGGGUCUGGCAGACAGACCUCUGGCCCUAGGUUUGGGUGCCAGGUUCUCUGCUUCCAGAAUGAGAAGCUUUGCUGUGCACCAGGACCUGGGCCCUUCUGGUAUCUCCUGAAUGAAAAACAAGGGAUAUUUAAUAAAUAUGGAUUUAAAUAUGUGA